rnacentral:pre_miRNA from 1 species
AAAAAAGAUAGACCCUGGUUUCCGUGCCCAACGUUUGACCGUCCGUCUUAUUUAAAAAAAUUAUAAAAAAAAUUAAAAAGACAAGUCACGCAUAAAAUAUUAAUCAUGUUUUAUCAUCUAAUAACAAUGAAAAUACGAAUUAUAAAAAAAAUUUCAUAUAAGACGGACAGUCAAAGUUGGACACGGAAACCCAUGAUUUGCCUUUUU